rnacentral:lncRNA from 1 species
GGUAAAACAUUGGCAAAUCAUACAGAAUGUAAAAGCAUAAGCAGACCUGUUUUCAGACAUAUUAAGAAACAAAGAAUAUGUACAUAUAAACUAAGGCAGAAAUCUCUCUCUCCCCUCCUCUCGCACUCUCUCUCCCCCCUCUGUAUAUAUCUCUCUCCCCUCCUCUCGCUCUCUCUCCUCUUCUCUCUCUCCUCUUCUCUCUCUCUCUGUCUUUCUCCCUCCUCUCCUCUUCUCUCUCUCCGCUCUCGCCGGCCUUCGGGUAUCCUUCUCACGCCCCUCCUCUCUCUCCCUUCUCUCCUCUCUCCUCUUCCCCCAACCCUCUCUCUCCAUCUCUCGGUAUCCUCUAUCUCCCCCCUCUCUCUCCUCUUCUCUCCUCCCCCCCUCCCUCUCUCUCUCUCCCCCUCUCUCUCUGUAUCUCUCUCUCCCCUUUCUCUCCUUUCUCUCCCCCCCCUCUCUCUCUCUCCCCUCCCCCCCUCCUCUCCUCUUCCUCCCCCCCCCUCUCCCUCUUCCUCCCCCUCUCCUCUUCGUCGCUCCUCCCUCCUCCCUCUUCUCCCCCCCUCUCUCCUCUUCUCCCCCCCCUCUCUCUCCUCUCUUCUCUCCUCUCCCCUCUCCUCUCUUCUCUCCCUCCCCCCUCUCUCUCUGUCUCUCUCUCCCUCUCUCUCCUCUUCUCCCCCCCCUCCCCCCUCUCUCUCCUCUUCUCUCCUCCCCUCCCCCCUCUCUCUCCUCUUCUCUCCCCCCUCUCUCCUCCUCUCCUUCUCUCUCCUCUUCUCUCCCCCCUCUCCUCUGUAUAUCUCCAUCUCCCCUCUCUCCUCUCUCUCUCUCUCCCCCCUCUCUCUGUAUCUCUCCCUAUCUCCCCUCUCCCAGUCUCUCUCUCCCCCCCCUCUCUCCCCUCUUCUCUCCUCCCCCCCCUUCCUCCCCCCUCUCUCUCUCUCUUCUUCUCCUCCCCCCCUCCUCCUCCUUCAUAUCAUUCAGAGUACAGAACAUGAUGUCACUAAAAGCCUGUAA